UAGAAACUGAGAAAACUAGCUGCAUACUUCUUUUUAAAAAAUCGGACUUGUUCAUUUUCUUAGAAUAUUAGUUAAUAUUGAUAUGAUAUAAUUUAAGAGAGAAAUUUAAGGGAUAUGAUGAACUUGAGAUUAUGUAUAUUGAAUUUGUUGGGUUGAAUGGUUGAAAUAGGAUGAGGGUAUAUAAGACUUCUAUUUAUAGUAAGCAAAAAUACGUAGAAUAGUACAUCAUACAAUAGAAAAAAGUAAGAUGAGAAUUUGGGCAACUUUGACAAGUGUCAUGCUCACAUUGAUUCUCAUCUUUUGUGAAGUUCCUAUAAAAGGAAACUUUUUAAAAAAUAACUUUAUAAUUUUUUAAAUAUAAUAAUUGAUGCUUUGUUUUAAAUUUUCACGUGAAAUCAAAAUAUGGUUGAGCCAUUGGGAAUAUGAAACAUCCAUCGGGAAUAUGAAACAUCUAUUGCAAACUAUUAAACCUAAAAAUAAUUUUCUGAACAUAUAUUAAUUGCAUUAUUUGUUUUCAAUGUAAACUUUAAGUUUUUUUCUUCAAACUUAAAGGAUUCAACAUUAACAAGAAGUCGAAGGACUCAAAUGAAGAACAAAAUUAAUCGCAGCAACAGAGUAAGAACGAAAAAGCAAUGGAUCAACCACAAAACAAUCUGCAUCAGAAGACGUAACAGGUAGAAGCAGAUUCAAAUUCUUACCCGGAAAGUCAUCACCGACGCUCAAGCUUGGUAGAUCAGUCGUGUUGAAAUUGUCGUGUUUCUCUUUGGUGUUAAAGCGGAAGAAGUAGCAAAGCUGCGUGAGAAAGGAUAUACUUUGAAAGUUCCUCUACAAUUCCAGGAUGCUGCGAGAUGGAUAUUUUGGUGAUAAAGACUACUUUGAAUCCUUAUCUGACACGGCUGCAACUGAUAAAACAAUCGCUGAACUAGAGAAGUGGAUCAAGAUGAGUAUUCUCAGUGAUGCUGGCUCUGGGAGGUUUAGUAGUGACAGGACUAUUCAAGCGUAUGCAGAGAGAACAUGGAAAAUUAAUCCCUGCCAAUACCCUUUUUGAUCUAUAAGGAUCUAUUACUCUAAACUAACUAAUUAAAAAGAAACACAAAUGGGUGAUAAUUAUAGGUAUAUUAGUGAGUGUGACAUUGCUUUCACUUAUUACCUUGAUGGUUUUCAUUCUCAAAAUAAAUAAAGGUUAUGGAAGUAGCAGAAGUUAUCCAAAAAGUUUCUCUAGAAGAUCACUUGCCAAUAGAACCAUUUCUUCUAUAAUUUAUUCUCCUUGAAAAUAUGAUAUUUAUCAGACAAUAGAACCAUUUCUUCUAUAAUUUAUUCUCCUUGAAAAUAUGAUAUUUAUCAGACAAAGAGGGAUUUGGUUAUGA